rnacentral:rRNA from 1 species
GCAAGAGCCCGGAGAUGGAUUCUGAGACAUGAAUCCAGGCCCUACGGGGCGCAGCAGGCGCGAAAACUUUACAAUGCGGGAAACCGUGAUAAGGGGACACCGAGUGCCAGCAUCAUAUGCUGGCUGUCCGGAUGUGUAAAAUACAUCCGUUAGCAAGGGCCGGGCAAGACCGGUGCCAGCCGCCGCGGUAACACCGGCGGCCCGAGUGGUGAUCGUGAUUAUUGGGUCUAAAGGGUCCGUAGCCGGUUUGGUCAGUCCUCCGGGAAAUCUGAUAGCUCAACUAUUAGGCUUUCGGGGGAUACUGCCAGACUUGGAACCGGGAGAGGUAAGAGGUACUACAGGGGUAGGAGUGAAAUCUUGUAAUCCCUGUGGGACCACCUGUGGCGAAGGCGUCUUACCAGAACGGGUUCGACGGUGAGGGACGAAAGCUGGGGGCACGAACCGGAUUAGAUACCCGGGUAGUCCCAGCCGUAAACGAUGCUCGCUAGGUGUCAGGCAUGGCGCGACCGUGUCUGGUGCCGCAGGGAAGCCGUGAAGCGAGCCACCUGGGAAGUACGGCCGCAAGGCUGAAACUUAAAGGAAUUGGCGGGGGAGCACAACAACGGGUGGAGCCUGCGGUUUAAUUGGACUCAACGCCGGACAACUCACCGGGGGCGACAGCAAUAUGUAGGCCAAGCUGAAGACUUUGCCUGAAUCGCUGAGAGGAGGUGCAUGGCCGUCGCCAGUUCGUACUGUGAAGCAUCCUGUUAAGUCAGGCAACGAGCGAGACCCGUGCCCACUGUUACCAGCAUGUCCUCCGGGACGAUGGGUACUCUGUGGGGACCGCCGAUGUUAAAUCGGAGGAAGGUGCGGGCCACGGUAGGUCAGUAUGCCCCGAAUCUCCCGGGCUACACGCGGGCUACAAUGGAUGGGACAAUGGGUCCCUCCCCUGAAAAGGGCUGGUAAUCUCACAAACCCAUUCGUAGUUCGGAUCGAGGGCUGUAACUCGCCCUCGUGAAGCUGGAAUCCGUAGUAAUCGCGU